GACAGAGGGUGCAAACGUUGUUCGGAAUCACUGGGCGUAAAGCGCGUGUAGGCGGCAAUGCAAGUCGGAUGUGAAAUCCCGCGGCUCAACCGUGGAAGUGCACCCGAAACUGCAUAGCUAGAGUGUCGGAGAGGAAGGUGGAAUGCUUGGUGUAGAGGUGAAAUUCGUAGAUAUCAAGCGGAACACCGGUGGCGAAGGCGGCCUUCUGGACGACGCUGACGCUGAGACGCGAAAGCGUGGGUAGCAAACAGG
rnacentral:rRNA from 1 species